rnacentral:rRNA from 1 species
UAUGGUAAUUGCCAGCAGCCGCGGUAAUACGUAUGGUGCAAGCGUUAUCCGGAUUUACUGGGUGUAAAGGGAGCGUAGACGGCUGUGUAAGUCUGAAGUGAAAGCCCGGGGCUCAACCCCGGGACUGCUUUGGAAACUAUGCAGCUAGAGUGUCGGAGAGGUAAGUGGAAUUCCCAGUGUAGCGGUGAAAUGCGUAGAUAUUGGGAGGAACACCAGUGGCGAAGGCGGCUUACUGGACGAUGACUGACGUUGAGGCUCGAAAGCGUGGGGAGCAAACAGG